UACGUAGGGUGCGAGCGUUAAUCGGAAUUACUGGGCGUAAAGCGUGCGCAGGCGGUUUUGUAAGACAGUCGUGAAAUCCCCGGGCUCAACCCGGGAAUGGCGAUUGUGACUGCAAGGCUGGAGUGCGGCAGAGGGGGAUGGAAUUCCGCGUGUAGCAGUGAAAUGCGUAGAUAUGCGGAGGAACACCGAUGGCGAAGGCAAUCCCCUGGGCCUGCACUGACGCUCAUGCACGAAAGCGUGGGGAGCAAACAGG
rnacentral:rRNA from 1 species